UCCGAAAUCGCGUACUUCCAUACUAUAUAGUAGGCGAAAAACAGUAUGUGAAGCAAGUAGUAUGUCCGAAUCCUUAGUAUUUGAAAAACAGUAGGCGAGAUGUACCCGGAUGGCCUACUACUUCCGCCCGAAUUCCGUAGUAUGCAUAGGAUGGACACUACUCUAUUCCAUGAUGCCACGGGAGAGGACUCGUCAUACUCAUAUUCAAAAAUAACGGAAAAUCGUGACGCCGCUGUUUUGAAGUAGACUGAUGAACACACACUUGUUCUCAUCCACUGAUGAAACCCUACUCACUGGAAAGCAUAAUUCAGUAAUUAUGCUCUUGAAGAGCUGCACACGGUCGUCUGGUGUGACACAGCUGUGGUCAGAUUGUCCCACACAUGCUCUCCUGUGCUGACUUCUGUGUUUUGGGGUUCCAGUGUAUCAUCGUCAUGAUCUUCCACAACUUCUGGAUCAACAAUGUCCUCAUUCAGAAGACCGAGGUUGUGGAGCACUGCACAGCAUGCAACAACAUCUGCACAAAGACAGGACUCACUUUCAGGGCCUUGAAGAAGAAGAAGAUGGAGCACAGCUUGUCUUCAUCAUCCUGAAGGCUCUCUCAACAAUGUUCUGUGCACGAGCAUCACUGGUGUUGAAUCAAACCUGUGCAGGAUUCUGUUCAGGCUCUCUGGAGUG